rnacentral:lncRNA from 1 species
CCGGGAGCUGGCAGACCUGGGACAGAGCAGGCUGGUGUCACCUCUGACCAGCUCAUGACAGCUGAUUGUUAAAUAUGGCUCCUGACAACCAUCGUUAAACUUGUAGGAAUUUUGUGAGCCAGUUGACCUCAUCAGGUAUUUGGAUGCUGACCAUGGAGACCGUCAGAUGCUGUAAACCCUCCUACCCGGGAGGUUGCCCGAUGUUUGCCACACAGGCUGCGGGGCCUGUCUGUGUGGCCACCUCCCAGUCUGGGUCGAGUGUCUCCUGAAUCACCACCGCUCAGGCCCUUGGGCAGUAGUCAAGAGCAGGGUUGGGGCAGGGCCAUGGGGCCACCAGGCUGCAGGGACCCAGAGCAGGACAGGGCUAUGGGGCCACCAGACACCAGUGCAGGGUGACCCCCAGCGAGAGAGCCGUGGACUCUCCUUACCCUGACAUGGGCGCAGCCGUGGCUGUCCUUGGAGAUGGAGCCCGGGCCGUCAGCCGGCUCUGCCUGCCCCUGGACCCUGGGAAGGCAGGCGAGGAUUCUCCCCAGAGCCGCCAGGAGCCAGCCCUGCUGAGGCCUCGGUGCUGACUGGGGGAGAUGGGCCUGGCCCCUGACCCCGGGGUUCUAAGACACAGAGUCUGCCUCGCCUGGGCCACUGAGCUGGUGGGGCAUUGCUAGGCAGCACAGCAGGCCACCGCAGCCUCCGCCUGGGGGCUCUGCCCACGCAGCCGGCAUGGACCCAUGCUGCUCUGCAGCCGCCUGGACACUGCAGCUGAAUCUCAGCUCUUGGGGUCAGCGCCAGGGAAUGCAUGUCCAGCUGACCUUGGGGUUUCGUGUCACUGCCGCCAGCCAGACUGACCCCCGAGGUCCGUGGUUUGGGAGGAGCAGGGCACGUGGCUCCCAGGAUCCUCAGCCACCAGACACACACGCAUGCUCACUCGUGCCCCCCCCACGCACUUCCCCUAUAUGUGCUCCAAACAAGCACGCUGACAUGUGGUCACACAUGGCACUCUGCACGCGUGGUCACUCGUGGCACUCUGCACGCAUGUGCACAUGUGCUCACACGCACACUCAUGUGGCCCCUAACUGCUUCCGCACAGCACACCCUCCAUGGCGUGUGCUCCUCUCCCUUCCCC